ensembl:lncRNA
GUUGAAAGCACUCGACACUGAAAGCAUUUUUUGACUUUUUUCUUUGUUCAUGUUAGUCCAAGUAAGUAAAUCCUUCUUUGGGACCUCAGGAUAGAUCAUAUUAGAAUAAAUAGUAGGACUGUAAAAUUUUAGACUUUAAGAAAAAAAUAACUAGAUCAGAAAAGCAUCUAUGAAGUGAAACAGUUGGUGUGACAAACCUGGAAGCAGUUUUAUAUCAAAUGAACAACCUAAAAUAUUAUGUAUUUGAUGGGUUUACAUGCAGAAUAUUUUUAUCUUAAAUUCAUUAAAAUUUGAUGUGUUCUGAAAACAAGACAAAGGGAUUAUAAUUACCAACCCAGUUUUGAGAAACACUCUCAGCUUAUGUAUCUUUUAUUCAUAAGGAGAAACAGAAAACUGGACGACUGCAGAGCCUAGGGCAGCAAACAUGCUAGGACCGCCCCUGUUUGCUGCACUCUGCACAUUCCUGAUUUUGGUCCAGUACAGUUUUUAUGCCUUAAUUAAGGAAAUUUAUUUUUUCCACCUGAAAUGUAAACUUUAGUCACCAUCUUUGCAAUUAAAUAACUUAAUAUUUCUGUUCAGGAUAUUUAUAAAAUCUACAUAUUUUAUAGUAAUAAUUUAUAAUUAUAUGAUAAUAUCUACCAGAGGCCUGGGAGCUUGAGGGUCCUGCGCAGUCACUUAGCUGUUCCUGUUACCUUCACCCUCCACAUCUUCUCCAGCUCUUUGCUGAGGCCUUUUUAUUUCUCCAGCUUCUUGUGUUCCUUCUUCCUGAUGUUGCUGUCGUUCAGAACCGCUCCGUCUAUCACUACGGCCGUCUUCUUCUGUCAGUUGUGUAAAUACUGAUUUACACAACUCAGAGCCAUGGGGGCCAUUUCACCAGAGAACUCUGAUUAUCAUCAAAGUCAGACUGACGACAAAUUCAGACUAAAACUAAACCAGAGGAGAAUCAGACUGUGGGAACUGAAGUCUUUACCUGAUUUGCAAGCAGCUUUAUGAAUGUUUGUUAUGAAGUUCAUGCAAGGCAGUGCUAUCCUCUGCUCUGAAAUGAGUGAUUCUGUCUCACUGACUAAGAGUCAGUCAACAUUCUUUAGUAUGAUCUCCUUUUGCCUGUAUGGUGUUCAUCACAGCAGAAACAGACGCCCCCUGCUGUCUGUGUGUGUAAUUCAACGCUCAACUAUUUUUAAAAAUCGUUAUUAAACAUAUAAAUCUCAUUUUCUAGCAUAGAUAAAGUAUAUCUUGCUUACAUUAAAGGGCGGUAAAUCAAUUCACAGUGCUGUAAAAAGUGUUUAGCCUCCUCCUGGUUUCUCAGUUUGCUGCAUAUUGUGCAAAGCAGAGUGGGUAAAAUUCCUCCACAGUGAUGUGAAAGACUCAUUAACAGUUAUUACUAAUGUUUGAUUGCCCCUGCCAGUAGUAACAUAACCAUGUACCAGGUUUGGGAGAGGAUUACUUCUUCAUGUGGUCCCAGGAAGGUAGGACAACUUUUUUCCCCUUAACAAAUGAAAUCAUCAUUUCAAAGCUGCAUUUUCUUUUUCCUUGGAUUAUACUUGCCAAAUAUUAACAUUUGUUUGAGGAUUUCAAACAUGCAAGUGUCUCAAAUAUGGAAAAACUAAGAAAUCUGAUCUUAUGUGCAGUCUCCCUCCCCAUUUCGUGCACUUUCAAUGUUGAUAUAAUAAUAGCUGAAUGUGGAUUUAGGCAGUUCACAGAUGAACAGUAGAGAGCAGCAAACCUCCAACUCUGCAUCCAGUCUGAAGGAUGAGGCAGAUGGGCUGAAGCAGAAAACCUGCGAUUGAACAGUGGAGACUGUGUCCAGUUAGACAAGAGUACAAGUGCUCACAGCACCCUAACGCACGAAGAAGAAGCAGCUCUUCAGAUGUUACUGCUACUGCCGAC